UCGUAAACGGAAGUCCUAACGAUAAGGAUUCUAAGGUAGCGAAAUUCCUUGUCGAGUAAUUAUCGUCCAGCACGAAUGGCGUAACGACUGUCGCAGUGUCUCGGCUGUCCUUUUAGCGAAUUCACAGAUACUGUGCAGAUGCAGUUAGCCUUAGUCAGACGAGAAGACCCUGUGAACCUUCACGAGUCUUUGUAGGAACGAGCUCCUCGGCUGUACCUGCUCGAGUGCCUCGCACCUCGCUCAGCUUCUAGCCGUUUCUCUCGUCGCUGCCGCGGCUCCUACAGACGCCUCGUUCGUCUGGGACGGACUCUUUCAACGAAUCAACGAAAGAGAACGAAGGUUUGAGCAUGCUACAACUAGCCUCUCUAGCCUGACGGCAACGCCUCGAGGCGGAACCGCGACGGAAGUCUGUAGUAGUGACCCGCUCAGCUCAAUGGUCUGCUCUGCGAGCAUCCGUUCUCAGGUACUCCAGGGAUAACAGGUCAAUGCUAGCUAAGAGCUCCUAUCGACGCUAGGCUCUGAUACCUCGAUGUCGUCUCGUCCUGUCCUAGUAGCGCAAGCGCUGCUAAGGGUUUGGCUGUUCGCCAAUUAAAAGGACACGUGAGGUGGG
rnacentral:rRNA from 1 species